CCAGGUGUCCAUCAAAAUGUAGUUUGACUCAAACAUGCGCAGUCUAGCCUGCUCAAAACCUGCUCAGAAGCACCCUAGGCAUGAAAGGCACAAACAUUCUCUGUGGAGAGAGAUGAAGAGAUUGCAUUGAUGUCGACAACGAUGGGUGCAGCCUACCACUGUCUGAAGAAGUCCCACGACCAUGAACAGACCGAAGCAUCCAGAAACAUGUAGAGAGUGAGACAAAAGUGUGUUUGGUUCUUACUUCUUGGACGGCCCCCAGCAGGCGCACACCGUAACCAAGGUGAUAAGGAGGAAAAUACCCCCGGUGGAGAGAAUGAUGUAGAGGGAACUCCUCCCUGCAGGGGGAGGGUCAGGAGGGUAGGAGGGUCAUAGGCUUUGUCCCAAAUGGCACCCUUUUCCAUAUUUAGUGUUCACUUUUGACCAGGGCCACCGAGGCUCUGUUCAAAAGUAGUGCACCAUAGAGAAUAGGGUGCUAUUUGGGACGCAUCCACAUAGGAAAACAAACAGCACAGUAGAACUACUUAACAAUAUGUUCAAGCAGAAUUACAGCAUGUACUUCCUCCCCCGUCCUCCUACGCACACACUCAUGUCUUUGUGAUGUAGUCAUGUACUGGAUGUAUGGCCAGUGAUCAACUUCCCUCCCACUCAUUAUCUUUUUGCUGCUGGUACAUUAGGCUACAGUUAGUAAAAAAAAAAACGAUC